rnacentral:rRNA from 1 species
AGACGUUGGCGGCGUGGNAUUAGGCAUGCAAGUCGUGCGAGNAAGUUUGCCUUCGGGCAGACGGACAGCGGCGAAAGGGAGAGUAACGUGUGGAUACCUGCCCCCGGAUCCGGGAUAGCCAGCCGAAAGGCGGGGUAAUACCGGAUAAUGUCUCCGGACCAAAGGUGUGAUUCCGUCUGGGGAUGGGUCCGCAUCCUAUUAGCUUGUUGGUGGGGUAAUGGCCUACCAAGGCUGCGAUGGGUACCGGGCGUUAGCGCGUGGCCCGGCUCACUGGGACUGAGACACUGCCCAGACACCUACGGGUGGCUGCAGUCGAGAAUCUUCGGCAAUGGGCGCAAGCCUGACCGAGCGACGCCGCGUGCGGGAUGAAGGCCUUCGGGUUGUAAACCGCUGUCGGAGGGGAGGAAAUCCUGAGGGGCACUCUCCUCAGGUUGACCUAUCCUCGGAGGAAGGACGGGCUAAGUUCGUGCCAGCAGCCGCGGUAAGACGAACCGUCCAAACGUUAUUCGGAAUCACUGGGCUUAAAGGGUGCGUAGGCGGCCGUUCAAGUCGGGUGUGAAAGCCCUCAGCUCAACUGAGGAAUUGCGCCCGAUACUGUUCGGCUUGAGGAAGGCAGAGGUGAGCGGAAACUUGCGGUGGAGCGGUGAAAUGCGUAGAUAUUGGGGAGAACACCCAGUGGCGAAGGCGAUUUUCCAGGUUGUUUCUGACGCUGAGGCUCGAAAGCGUGGGGAGCGAAGCGGAUUAGAUACCCGCGUAGUCCACGCCCUAAACGGUGGACACUAGNAUAUGGGAGGUAUCGGACCCCUUCCGUGUCGAAGCUNACGCUUUAAGUU